rnacentral:ncRNA from 2 species
AAUCGAAAAGCACAUUGCCUUCAUAUAUGUUUGGGAAUAAGGCCUGAACGUUUCUACCUGAACACCUUAAAUGUUCGGACUAUGAAGGCAGAAGUCCCGUUU